rnacentral:rRNA from 1 species
UACAGAGGUCCCAAGCGUUGUUCGGAUUCACUGGGCGUAAAGGGUGCGUAGGUGGCGAGGUAAGUUUGAUGUGAAAUCUCCGAGCUCAACUCGGAAACUGCAUUGAAUACUAUCUUGCUAGAGGGUUGGAGGGGAGACUGGAAUUCUCGGUGUAGCAGUGAAAUGCGUAGAUAUCGAGAGGAACACCAGUGGCGCAAGCGGCUGACUGGCCGAGACCUGACGCUGAGACACGACGGCGUGGGGAGCAAACAGG